rnacentral:rRNA from 1 species
AUUGAACGCUGGCGGCAGGCCUAACACAUGCAAGUCGAACGGUAACAGGAAACAGCUUGCUGUUUCGCUGACGAGUGGCGGACGGGUGAGUAAUGUCUGGGAAACUGCCUGAUGGAGGGGGAUAACUACUGGAAACGGUAGCUAAAACCGCAUAACGUCGCAAGACCAAAGAGGGGGACCCUCGGGCCUCUUGCCAUCGGAUGUGCCCAGAUGGGAUUAGCUUGUUGGUGGGGUAACGGCUCACCAAGGCGACGAUCCCUAGCUGGUCUGAGAGGAUGACCAGCCACACUGGAACUGAGACACGGUCCAGACUCCUACGGGAGGCAGCAGUGGGGAAUAUUGCACAAUGGGCGCAAGCCUGAUGCAGCCAUGCCGCGUGUAUGAAGAAGGCCUUCGGGUUGUAAAGUACUUUCAGCGGGGAGGAAGGGAGUAAAGUUAAUACCUUUGCUCAUUGACGUUACCCGCAGAAGAAGCACCGGCUAACUCCGUG